rnacentral:lncRNA from 1 species
GGAGGUGGCAUUUUCAAAUCCGAUGGAGAUCGAUCUUUCUCAUUUUUGCAAUACUAAAGAUCGGCGAUCUUUACUGAUAGUGGAAGCGGGGUCUUGGAUUUCUAUUGAUUUUAAGUAAUUAUCAUCAAAAUAAAAAGGAACAACAUUCUUAACCGAAAUGAGAAUUCAUGAUAACGAAAGCAAAGUUCUGUCUUGUCUUUCAGAUAUACUUUGACAGAACUAUAAAAUGAUAUAAA